UAUUGAUGUUUUCAAAUCUGCAAACAACAAAUUCUUGGUUGUGUUUGUGCGGCAUUGAUCGGUGACCAUGGUGACAGAUUGGUCAGAUUGUUCUUGCUUGGGUAGCAAAAUUAAUUAAAUUGCCGUUCCCGCGAUGGAUAUAAUCGGAAGAUAUCAGUUCACCGAACGACGUGAUGGCGUCUCAACGACGGAGUUUUUUUUCCGUUGCUUUGCCUCAAAGUCAGACUUCCCUAUGUAAGAACCAUUCGAUUGGAACAGGGGAAUACUCGAAACAUCCAAUUCAAGAACGGAACGGUCAAUGGUGGAUGAGGAGGCCGCAGUUUGUCAUCAGUGUGCUGAGCAUAAUAAUAAAACUAGAUAAGCUAAGAUGAAAACGACGAAUGAAGAAUGCCUGGUUCAACAGAGGCCAACAGCGUCAACGAUUGCAACGAUUUUUAUUUAACAGCAUUUAAAUAUCGGUUAACAAACAAUAAAUUAAAUAAAAUGUUUCAAAAAAGAAUUGACUUCAUUAAAUGAAAAGAAAAUUUUAAAGUAAAAUAAAA